rnacentral:rRNA from 1 species
AUGAACGCUGGCGGCGUGCCUAAUCCAUGCAAGUCGAGCGAACAGACGAGGAGCUUGCUCCUCUGACGUUAGCGGCGGACGGGUGAGUAACACGUGGAUAACCUACCUAUAAGACUGGGAUAACUUCGGGAAACCGGAGCUAAUACCGGAUAACAUGUUGAACCGCAUGGUUCAACAGUGAAAGACGGUCUUGCUGUCACUUAUAGAUGGAUCCGCGCCGCAUUAGCUAGUUGGUAAGGUAACGGCUUACCAAGGCAACGAUGCGUAGCCGACCUGAGAGGGUGAUCGGCCACACUGGAACUGAGACACGGUCCAGACUCCUACGGGAGGCAGCAGUAGGGAAUCUUCCGCAAUGGGCGAAAUCCUGACGGAGCAACGCCGCGUGAGUGAAGAAGGUCUUCGGAUCGUAAAACUCUGUUAUUAGGGAAGAACAAAUGUGUAAGUAACUAUGCACGUCUUGACGGUACCUAAUCAGAAAGCCACGGCUAACUACGUG